rnacentral:miRNA from 1 species
AUCCUAUUUUGUUUCUGGAACGGAGGCUACAUUAGAUUGAGUAUAUAGAUAGCUAGACUAAGUAUUGGCUGAUAAAUAGAGUGAUGUAUCAAUGAAC